AGCGAACGCUGGCGGCAGGCUUAACACAUGCAAGUCGAGCGGGCACCUUCGGGUGUCAGCGGCAGACGGGUGAGUAACACGUGGGAACGUACCCUUCGGUUCGGAAUAACGCUGGGAAACUAGCGCUAAUACCGGAUACGCCCUUAUGGGGAAAGGUUUACUGCCGAAGGAUCGGCCCGCGUCUGAUUAGCUAGUGGGUGGGGUAACGGCCUACCAAGGCGACGAUCAGUAGCUGGUCUGAGAGGAUGAUCAGCCACACUGGGACUGAGACACGGCCCAGACUCCUACGGGAGGCAGCAGUGGGGAAUAUUGGACAAUGGGCGCAAGCCUGAUACAGCCAUGCCGCGUGAGUGAUGAAGGCCUUAGGGUUGUAAAGCUCUUUUGUCCGGGACGAGAAUGACGGUACCGGAAGAAUAAGCCCCGGCUAACUUCGUG
rnacentral:rRNA from 1 species